rnacentral:rRNA from 1 species
GACGGAGGAUGCAAGCGUUAUCCGGAAUUAUUGGGCGUAAAGCGUCCGUAGGCGGUUUGACAAGUCUGGGGUUAAAGCCCGGAGCCCAACUCCGGAUCGGCCCUGGAAACUGUCAGACUUGAGUAAGGAAGGGGUUGCGGGAAUUCCCGGUGUAGCGGUGAAAUGCGUAGAUAUCGGGAAGAACACCAGCGGCGAAAGCGCGCAACUGGGCCAUUACUGACACUGAGGGACGAAAGCUAGGGGAGCGAAUGGG